AUUUUUUUCAGCUUGGUCCUUCAUUUUCCAGUACUACUUUAUAUUUUGGUGGACCAUGGUGAAAACCAACAACGUGACGGGUCCAAAAGUGGUGGAGAAUACCACACAGCUUACUACUGGGAACAAAACUAAAACCAGAAAGUUAUAAGACUGCAAAGCCAAGCUCUUUCACAGCACUAACCAAUUGUCCCCACUUUCAGAUUCAAGUUAUGGUCUGUGAGAUACAGUUGCAUUUAUUAUUUGAUCAAAAGGGCCAGUGUCUCUCUUUUCUGUGGUUGUGUAGCAAUCCUUUCAAUCUGUCAGCUUCCAGUCCAUGUAGACUACUGGCUGCUCCCUCCAGAACUGAGCUGGCUGCGUAUGUUUCUAAUGCUGUACCUGGUAGUCUGAAGCACCAUGAAUAGGGGCUGUAGAAAAUCCAUUAUUUAGAGCAAUAAAACCAGAUCAGCACGGGGAGGACUGGCAAGGGGGCAAUUGUUCGCUGGGCCAUUAGCAUGAGAAAGCCCAGGAGGUCUGCAGCCUUAAACCAUAUUUCUGAAAAUUAAAAUAACAAGAGGGAUGUUGGGAUAUAUGUUGGUGCUACAUGGGUAAAGAAGCAGGUGGGAAUUGUGCAGGACUUUGCUAACUUGGCACUGUACUGUGUGGGUUUGUUCUUGGACUGAUGGCUUGUUCUUCCAAUUCCCUCCAGGCCUGGACUCCCCCCCGGGAUAUUUCCUGGUGGAGUGCUGAGACUGACCAAACUACGAGACUACAAUAAGUUUCCCUGGACGUGCUUGCCAGUGACUGUAGAGUGAGAUGAUACAGUGAACAUAACAUUGAUAAAAAUAAAACACCAGUUGUCAUUAGUAGCAAUGGAGUUAGUGGAAAACAGUCUGCAUUUCUUAAGCAUGGACAGAUAUCUGUGUCUACUAUGUUCCCUCAUACUUUUCAGAUUAUUCUCAGAGAUGUCCUGGGGAUAGAUGAUAACUCACUAUGCAGAUCCCGCAGCAUCCAUGUGUGAAAUCUAUGCAUAUUGCAUGCUCUACAUGAAU